rnacentral:misc_RNA from 1 species
AAGCUAAUGGGAAAUCAAUGAGGAAAGAAAAAAAGGAUUGUACAUAAGCAUAUAUCUAGUGGAUAAACCUCUGUUACUAAUACGAUGCAGUUUUUGUCUUCAUAGUAUGGCAACAAAGAAUAGUUCAUACAUGAAUGAGACAGUAAAACAAGAUAUCACCAUUUAAAAAAAAGGAACAAAAGUCAAGCCAGUGAGACUGAACAAAAAUGGUUUUUGGUAGGCCAACAUUUUUUACAUGAAUCAAGAAAAAGAACAAUGAUGUAGUGAAAGCUUAUACCAAUAUGGUGACAGCCUCCUUG